CAAGAAAUUAAGGGCUUAUGGGGGAUACCUUGGCAUUCAGAAGCGAUGAAGGACGUGGCUACCUGCGAUAUUCUUCGGGGAGCUGGAAGCAAGCUUUGAUCCGGAGGUCUCCGAAUGAGGCAACUCCAAGAACUACUUAUUGAAUACAUAGAUAAGAAAGAGUGAACCCAGGGAAUUGAAACAUCUUAGUACCUGGAGGAAAAGAAAGUAAAAACGAUUCCCUUAGUAGCGGCGAGCGAACUGGGAUCAGCCUAAACUAAUUAAUUAUUAGGGUUGUGGGACAGCGGCAUCAGACUGGAUUAGCUAGAUGAACUAAUUGGAAUAUUAGACCAUAGAAAGUGAAAGUCUUGUAAUCGAAAGCUAUGAAUACUGCGCUGUAUCCCGAGUAGCAUGGAGCACGUGAAAUUCCGUGUGAAUCUGUGAGGACCACCUCAUAAGGCUAAAUAUUCCUGAAUGACCGAUAGUGAAACAGUACCGCGAGGGAAAGGUGAAAAGAACCCCGGGAGGGGAGUGAAAUAGAACAUGAAACCAUAAGCUUACAAGCAGUAGGAGAACGACUUAACGUUUGACUGCGUUCCUGUUGAAGAAUGAGCCGGCGACUUAUAGGUAAUGGCUUGGUUAAGAUAGUGAAUAUCGGAGCCGUAGCGAAAGCGAGUCUGAAAAGGGCGUUUGUCAUUAUUUAUAGACCCGAACCCGGAUGAUCUAACCAUGGCCAGGUUGAAACUUAGGUGAUACUAAGUGGAGGACCCAACCGACUGAUGUUGAAAAAUCAGCGGAUGAGUUGUGGUUAGGGGUGAAAUGCCAAUCGAAUCCGGAGCUAGCUGGUUCUCCCCGAAAUGCGUUUUGGCGCAGCGGUUAAUGUUAUAAUUUAGGGGUAAAGCACUGUUUCGGUGCGGGCUGGUAAAACGGUACCAAAUCGAGGCAAACUAAGAAUACUAAAUGAAUAAUUAACCAGUAAGACUGUGGGGGAUAAGCUCCAUUGUCAAGAGGGAAACAGCCCAGACCACCAGCUAAGGCCCCUAAAUAAUUACUAAGUGAUAAAGGAGGUGGGAAUGCUUAGACAACCAGGAGGUUUGCUUAGAAGCAGCAAUCCUUUAAAGAGUGCGUAAUAGCUCACUGGUCGAGUAGGCCUGCGCCGAAAAUGAAUGGGGCUAAGUAAUUUGCCGAAGCUGUGGGAUUUUAUAAUCGGUAGGGGAGCGUUCUGUUAUAGGUUGAAGCAUUAGCGAAAGCGGGUGUGGACGAAGCAGAAGUGAGAAUGUCGGCUUGAGUAGCGAAAACAUUGGUGAGAAUCCAAUGCCCCGAAAACCUAAGGUUUCCUUCGGAAGGCUCGUCCGCGGAGGGUAAGUCAGGACCUAAGGCCAGGCCGAGAGGCGUAGUCGAUGGACAACAGGUUAAUAUUCCUGUACUAUUUUUUAUUGACAACGAGGGACGGAGAAGGAUAGGCUAGCUGGAUGUUGGUUACCAGUUUAAGCGUUCGAGGUGUUGAGAAGUAGCGAAAAUACUUUGAGCUGAGGCGUGAAUACGAGAUGCUACGGCAUUUAAGUAGUUGAUUUCAUACUUCCUAGAAAAGCUUGCACUGUCAUAAAUAAAAAAUACCUGUACUAUAAACCGACACAGGUGGGUAAGUAGAGAAUACUAAGGGGCGCGAGAUAACUCUCUCUAAGGAACUCGGCAAAAUAACCCCGUAACUUUGGGAGAAGGGGUACCUUGAGAAAGGUUGCAAUAACCAGGUCCAAGCGACUGUUUACCAAAAACACAGGUCUCCGCUAAGUUGUAAAACGACGUAUGGAGGCUGACGCCUGCCCAGUGCCGGAAGGUUAAGGAAGUCGGUUCAAUGCUGAUAACUGAAGCCCCGGUGAACGGCGGCCGUAACAAUAACGGUCCUAAGGUAGCGAAAUUCCUUGUCGGGUAAGUU
rnacentral:rRNA from 1 species